AAAUUGAAGAGUUUGAUCAUGGCUCAGAUUGAACGCUGGCGGCAGGCCUAACACAUGCAAGUCGAACGGUAACAGGAAGAAGCUUGCUUCUUUGCUGACGAGUGGCGGACGGGUGAGUAA
rnacentral:rRNA from 3 species